UACGUAGGUGGCAAGCGUUGUCCGGAAUUAUUGGGCGUAAAGCGCGCGCAGGCGGUUUCUUAAGUCUGAUGUGAAAGCCCCCGGCUCAACCGGGGAGGGUCAUUGGAAACUGGGAAACUUGAGUGCAGAAGAGGAAAGUGGAAUUCCAAGUGUAGUGGUGGAAUGCGUAGAGAUCCGGAGGAACACCAGCGGCGAAGGCGGCAUCCUGGACUGGUCCUGACACUCAGGAGCGAAAGCGUGGGGAGCGAUCCGG
rnacentral:rRNA from 1 species